CCUACGGGUGGCAGCAGUGGGGGAUAUUGCACAAUGGGGGAAACCCUGAUGCAGCGACGCCGCGUGGGUGAAGAAGUAUUUCGGUAUGUAAAGCCCUGUCAGCAGGGAAGAAAGAAGACGGUACCUGACUAAGAAGCCCCGGCUAACUACGUGCCAGCAGCCGCGGUAAUACGUAGGGGGCGAGCGUUAUCCGGAUUCACUGGGUGUAAAGGGGGCGUAGACGGCCGGGCAAGCCAGGAGUGAAAGCCCGGGGCCCAACCCCGGGACUGCUCUUGGAACUGUGCGGCUGGAGUGCGGGAGGGGCAGGCGGAAUUCCUGGUGUAGCGGUGAAAUGCGUAGAUAUCAGGAGGAACACCGGCGGCGAAGGCGGCCUGCUGGACCGCGACUGACGUUGAGGCUCGAAAGCGUGGGGAGCGAACAGGAUUAGAUACCCCAGUAGUC
rnacentral:rRNA from 1 species